rnacentral:rRNA from 1 species
CCUACGGGAGGCAGCAGUGAGGAAUAUUGGUCAAUGGUCGGGAGCCUGAACCAGCCAAGCCGCGUGAGGGAUGAAGGUCCAGCGUAUCGUAAACCUCUUUUGUCAGGGAACAAAGUCGGGCACGUGUCCCCUGCUGAGUGUACCUUAUGAAUAAGCAUCGGCUAACUCCGUGCCAGCAGCCGCGGUAAUACGGAGGAUGCGAGCGUUAUCCGGAUUUAUUGGGUUUAAAGGGUGCGCAGGCGGUCUGUUAAGUCAGCGGUAAAAGCCCGGGGCUCAACCCCGGCCCGCCGUUGAAACUGGCAGUCUUGAGUGGGAGAGAAGUAUGCGGAAUGCGUGGUGUAGCGGUGAAAUGCAUAGAUAUCGCGCAGAACUCCGAUUGCGAAGGCAGCAUGCCGGAGCAAGACUGACGCUGAGGCACGAAAGCGUGGGUAUCGAACAGGAUUAGAUACCCGAGUAGUC